GAUUCCAGAACUCUCUUUGACAAGGUGGGGCGGGGCUCUCCUAGGUCUGGGCUCUGGCAAAAUUGGGGAGCCAGAGCGGGAGGAGCCUCAUCCCCCACCCUGCGCUUCCGCAGAAACGGUGC
rnacentral:precursor_RNA from 15 species